GCAUCGGUGGUUCAGUGGUAGAAUGCUCGCCUGCCACGCGGGCGGCCCGGGUUCGAUUCCUGGUCGAUGCG
rnacentral:tRNA from 1 species